GUGAACCUGCGGAAGGAUCAUUAUCGAGUUUUGAAAAGGGUUGUAGCUGGCCUUCGGCAACAAGUCGGAGGCAUGUGCACGCCUGGCUCAUCCACUCUCAAACCCCUGUGCACCUUUUGUAGGCUUCGGCAGAGAGGACUGACUUCGGUCGGUUCAGGAAGCCUUGUGCCUAUGUCACACAUACAAACGCUUCAGUUUAGAAUGUAACGAAUCGUGCGCCUCGGUGCAACGAAAUAAAUACAACUUUCAGCAACGGAUCUCUUGGCUCUCGCAUCGAUGAAGAACGCAGCGAAAUGCGAUAAGUAAUGUGAAUUGCAGAAUUCAGUGAAUCAUCGAAUCUUUGAACGCACCUUGCGCUCCUUGGUAUUCCGAGGAGCAUGCCUGUUUGAGUGUCAUGAAAUUCUCAACCUUUGAAGCUUUUUUUUGAGCUCGCAAAGGCUUGGACUUGGAGGUCGUGUCGGCUCGUAACAAAGUCGACUCCUCUGAAAUGCAUUAGUGUGAAACCUUCGCAGGAUCGCCUUCGGUGUGAUAAUUGUCUACGCCGUCGGUCGUGAAAGUCGAAACAUACGUGUUCACGCUUCUAAUCGUCCGUCGAGGACAAACUUUUUUCUUGACCAUCUGACCUCAAAUCAGGUAGGACUACCCGCUGAACUUAAGCAUAUCAAUA
rnacentral:rRNA from 1 species